rnacentral:rRNA from 1 species
CAUUUGGCAUGGAGGCCUCUGACCGCGACGCCGCGUGCGGGAUGAAGGCCUUCGGGUUGUAAACCGCUUUCAGCAAGGAAGAAGCGAAAGUGACGGUACUUGCAGAAGAAGCACCGGCUAACUAUGUGCCAGCAGCCGCGGUAAUACAUAGGGUGCAAGCGUUGUCCGGAAUUAUUGGGCGUAAAGAGCUCGUAGGUGGUUCGUCACGUCGGAUGUGAAAAUCUGGGGCUUAACCCCAGACCUGCAUUCGAUACGGGCGAGCUAGAGUGUGGUAGGGGAGACUGGAAUUCCUGGUGUAGCGGUGGAAUGCGCAGAUAUCAGGAGGAACACCAAUGGCGAAGGCAGGUCUCUGGGCCAUUACUGACACUGAGGAGCGAAA